rnacentral:rRNA from 1 species
AUGGAGAGCAUGAUGGAGGAGGAAGAAGGGAUGAUGAUGGCGGUGGCGCAGCGGAUGAUGGUGAUGGUGGCGUGGCUAUGGUGGUCCUUUGGCAGCGGUUCCCUUUUGGUCUACUUCAUGGUUGCAACUAUGAGCUCUAGAGAUGCUAAAAUAUGGAGCCAUAGUGAUGAUGGUGAAGCCCCAUUGAUUCAGAGUUGGGGCGGCGUAUUCCUUGGAUUGAUUCCCCCUUUGGAUGCCUUGCGAAGGCUAGGGUUCUGUAGAUGUGUUUCUGGAGACUAUGGGCGUCUGAUGCCCGAUCCGACUCCACAAAGGGUGAAUCAUUGUCCCCUUCCGUUAUUCACCCACCACGUCCAUGUCAUGGCGUGCAUCACCUACCUUCAUGUGGGCCCUAUAGUUGUGCUUCUCACAUACGAGCCCUACCUUCAGAUCUGCCUGGAGGCCCUAACCCUAAGGAUUCCUCCCCAUUGGAGCGUAGCACAUAAGAUCCAAAAGAGAGGGUCCGGUGUUUGCUUGAGGUGGGAGAAAGGAUUUGAAGAGGUAGGGUCAGUGAUAGGAAUGAGGACUAAGAAAGGUGGAACCGAGGUUGGCGGCGGUGGAGGCCGAUUGUUUCACAUGUUCAGCUACAGGGGAAAAUCCCUAAAGAUGUUAUUCUCUAGAUCUCUGGAUGAUGUUAUGCUUCUCAAGAGAAGCAACAAAACCAUACAAUCUAGCCGCCUCCAUUUGAACGACAAAGUUGAGGAGACUGGUGUGUCAAGCAUACAAGAGAGAAACACUUAUAUUUGUGCAUCCUCGCCCAAUGAGGAUAGGCGUGUGAUGACGACACCAGGAGUAGUGGCUAAGCUUAUGGGUUUGGAUGCCAUCCCAUGUCCAGGUGUCACAAAAUCUAUUAACACCCCAUCCCAUGAUAGCUACGACAUCAAUAGGAUCCCAGAGUACUCUAACGACAACAUGCUCAAGCCAUUGGAUUCAAGAGUUAAAAGCAUGCCAAGAGGCCAUGUUAAAAGAUUGCAGAUAGAAUCAUUGCCAUCAAGAUCCAGUUCAAUGGGAAACAUAACUCAAAUCAUGGAGGUGGCUCCCAAGAUUCUAGAGCCCAAGCCACAAGUGAAUUCUAUAGAGAAAACCAUUUCUUCAGGGAUCCCUUUCAAGGCUUCUAAGUCAAGGAGGAUUGUUGCAACUUCUCAAAGGAUGCUACCUCAACAACCACAAUCAUCCAAGAUCAAGGUCAAGCUAACAGAAGGGAGACUAUUUAGAGAGCAACACAUGAACCAGCAUUCGAACUGCAAUGAGGACAUUGUGACACCUUCAAUUGAUUUUUGUGAGACUAAGAAACCAAGUUGUUCUAGGAGCAAUAAAAGGAAGUCUGCUUAUGUGGUACCCCAUGCAGAGUUCACCAUGCAAAAGAGGGAAGGUAUGGGUGCUUCUAGAAGGAAUUCAGGACGACAUAAACAUUAUAGAUCUCAACAAUAUAAUGUGUCUAGAUCAAACCAACAUUUGAUGAUUCAGUCCAAACACAAGACAAACAAACAACAAACAAAGUCAUCAUCAUAUGGUACUAUUACCUCUGUUCUUCAGAAGAACAACCAGAAACAAAAUUCUUUGGUGGGCAAGGGAAAGUUAGUACCAAACAAAAAAAUCUCAACCCAACAAGCUAUAAAGGUGAUUGAAGGUGAUUCCUCUUAUAGGACAAUGGGGAAUGGAAGAAAGGUCAUUGUGGAAAGAUUAAGUGGUAAUUGGAAAGAACCAACAUCAAAGAGGAACUCCACAUAUGAAAAGGUACCAUUCAUGAGCAAAAAAGCAAUAGACACACUCCAAAAGCAGGUUCAGCCUAAUGUUGCUAUGGAUGAGAACAUAAAGUGGAACAAUCAUGGUAAAGACACUGUAGAUGUUGUGUUGUGCACCAACACCUCAUCCUUGGUUAAACCAUUAGCAAAUAAUUCAGAUACAAGAGCUGAUUUUUCUUUCAAUGACAUAACAGAGAAGAGUUAUUGGAAGAAAAAUGUGGAAGGGUCGUCAGUAGGGCUAAACUAUGUUAGUGGUGAUUCAUUAGGCAUUUUGUUAGAAAGUAAAAUGAAGGAGAUAACAUUGAAUGACAAUCCGUCCAUCGAUUACACAAGGGGUGACUACUUUGUGAAGACUCCUUUUACCUUGGACGAAGAACAAGUGUCCCCUUUUAGCAGUUGGGAUGUGGAAAGUGAAGUAUUCGAAUUUAGCCCUUGUACAAUAAAACCUUCACUAUAUGUUGACGACUGCCAGUCGGUCCAAUCUUCAACGAAAGGACAACUUCUCCAAUGGAGUAAACCACAGAAUCAUGACAGCGCACCAACUAUGCAUAUGCGUAUUGAACCAUAUGGUUUCCUGUACGUCUGUGAUAGUGGGGAAAUAUUAGUGGUGUGGGAAAGCCAUGUCAUAGUUGAUUUAUGCCUUGGAUUGUGGUUUUUUUUACACUCCAAUGUGCAUGACCUUGACAUUAUUCAGGAACCAGAAAACUGCAUCAGUCCAAACAAUGGAAGGAAAGAUGGGGAUGGUGAAGAUCUAAAUCCCCUCUCUGUAUUCCACCCACCAUUUAUGAGUGAGAGUUGUUCGUCUUCCCAGUGCCCAAGUAGCAGUAAUGAAUGGAAGAAACCUCUGGACGACUGCGUGUAUAGACGGUUGUUGUUUGACUGCGUGAACGAAUGCUUCGAGAUGAGGCGUCUCACUUACUCUUCGGAAGGGUAUGUAGCAUGGAGCAAAGGGAUGACAGCAGCGAGCAGAUGCCUAGAAACUGUAGUCUACAGUGAGAUCAAUGUCUGGAAGAGUAUGGGAGAGAGAACGCAUGGUGAGCUUGUGGAGAAGGACAUCACCACUGGCUUGAGCAAAAAGGAGCUUGUGGAGGGCAUUGUGCAUCACAAUGAUGCAGAGACCAUGAGUUUCAACCUCUCUCUUGACAAAUAUUUAAAUUGGCUUGUGGAGAACAACAUGAGCAGUGAACUGGGCAAGUGGAAUGAUUUCUGCGCGGAGGGGUUAGAGGUCGGCGAGGAGGUGGAGAGGGACAUACUUAGCUCGCUGAUGGACGAGGUGAUUGAUGACAUCUGCGCGGGAUGGCAUUAG